rnacentral:rRNA from 1 species
UACGUAGGGGGCAAGCGUUGUCCGGAAUUAUUGGGCGUAAAGGGCUCGUAGGCGGUCCAUCGCGUCGGGAGUGAAAAGCUGGGGCUCAACCCCAGUCCUGCUUCCGAUACGGGUGGACUAGAGGUAUGCAGGGGAGAACGGAAUUCCUGGUGUAGCGGUGAAAUGCGCAGAUAUCAGGAGGAACACCAAUAGCGAAGGCAGCUCGCUGGGACGUUACUGACACUGAGGCGCGAAAGCGUGGGGAGCGAACAGG